AUUGAACGCUGGCGGUAUGCUUAAGACAUGCAAGUCGAACGGUAACAGACCUUCGGGUGCUGACGAGUGGCGGACGGGUGAGUAACACGUGGGAAUCUACCUUGUAGUGGGGGAUAAGCCAGGGAAACUUGGACUAAUACCGCAUACGCCCUAAGGGGAAAGAGCAAUUCGCUAUAAGAUGAGCCCGCGUCUGAUUAGCUAGUUGGUGAGGUAAAGGCUCACCAAGGCGACGAUCAGUAGCUGGUCUGAGAGGAUGACCAGCCACAUUGGGACUGAGACACGGCCCAGACUCCUACGGGAGGCAGCAGUCGAGAGGCUUCGGCAAUGGGGGAAACCCUGACCGAGCGACGCCGCGUGAGCGAUGAAGCCCUUCGGGGU
rnacentral:rRNA from 1 species